rnacentral:rRNA from 1 species
AACGAACGCUGGCGGCAUGCCUAACACAUGCAAGUCGAACGAGACCUUCGGGUCUAGUGGCGCACGGGUGCGUAACGCGUGGGAACCUGCCCUUAGGUUCGGAAUAACUCCCCGAAAGGGGUGCUAAUACCGGAUAAUGUCUUCGGACCAAAGAUUUAUCGCCUUUGGAUGGGCCCGCGUUGGAUUAGCUAGUUGGUAGGGUAAAAGCCUACCAAGGCGACGAUCCAUAGCUGGUCUGAGAGGAUGAUCAGCCACACUGGGACUGAGACACGGCCCAGACUCCUACGGGAAGCAGCAGUGGGGAAUAUCGGACAAUGGGCGAAAGCCUGAUCCAGCAAUGCCGCGUGAGCGAUGAAGGCCUUAGGGUUGUAAAGCUCUUUUACCCGGGAUGAUAAUGACGGUACCGGGAGAAUAAGCUCCGGCUAACUCCGUG